AGGACGAACGCUGGCGGCGUGCUUCAUACAUGCAAGUCGAACGAUAAGGUCUCUUCGGAGAUACAUAAGUGGCGGACGGGUGAGUAAAAUGUAGAGAAUCUGCCCUAGAGAUGGGGACAACAGUUGGAAACGACUGCUAAUACCCAAUAUGAGCGUAGUUGAAAUACUAUUCUUGAAAACUCCGGUGCUCUGGGAUGAGUCUGCAUCUGAUUAGCUAGUUGGAGGUGUAAUGGACCACCAAGGCGACGAUCAGUAGCUGGUUUGAGAGGAUGAUCAGCCACAAUGGGACUGAGACACGGCCCAUACUCCUACGGGAGGCAGCAGUAGGGAAUUUUGCGCAAUGGGGGAAACCCUGAACCGCAGCAACGCCGCGUGAAUGAAGAAGCCCUUCGGGGUGUAAAGUUCUGUCAGUAGGGAAGAAUAAAUGACUGUACCUACAGAGGAAGCAUCGGCUAACUCCGUGCCAGCCGCCGC
rnacentral:rRNA from 1 species